rnacentral:ncRNA from 1 species
GAAACGGCAAACUGUACCGAAAGGGCAGGACGCAAAGCCUCCGAUCUAACGUCAUCCGCGUGAUGGCCAUGACAGCGGGGUUGCCAA